ACUCAGCUGAAGAGUCUUAAAUAGGACGAAACGUGCAUCUUGAAU
rnacentral:hammerhead_ribozyme from 1 species